rnacentral:rRNA from 1 species
GAUGAACGCUAGCGGCAGGCCUAACACAUGCAAGUCGAGGGGCAGCAUAUAAAUAGCUUGCUAUUUAUGAUGGCGACCGGCGCACGGGUGCGUAACGCGUAUGCAACCUACCAUUAACAGGGGGAUAAUUCGGAGAAAUCUGGUCUAAUACCCCAUAUUAUAUAUUAAGGCAUCUUAUUAUAUUGAAAGUUCCGGCGGUUAAUGAUGGGCAUGCGUUGUAUUAGUUAGUUGGUGAGGUAAUGGCUCACCAAGGCUACGAUACAUAGGGGGACUGGUAGGGUAACCCCCCACACUGGUACUGGGACACGGACCAGACUCCUACGGGAGGCAGCAGUGGGGAAGAUUGCACAAUGGGGGAAACCCUGAUGCAGCAACGCCGCGUGAAGGAAGAAGGUUCUUGGGUCGUGAACUUCUAUCAACGGGGAAGAAAAGAAUGACGGUACCCGAGUAAGAAGCCCCGGCUAACUGCGUGCCAGCCGCCGCGGUAACAC